rnacentral:lncRNA from 1 species
CCCAAUUAGCCCGAGCCCGCACCAAAUGAACCAAACCAAACAAAAAAAAUAAAAACAGUCCAUUACAAUAAAAGAGCCCAAAUUACAGCAGGCCUAUGUGGCCCAAACCCAAAACAAAACAGCAAGCCCAAAGUCCUAACCCAAAUCAAACCCUAGCCCAACAAAGUUCAGUGAAUAGAAAAGAAGGAACCCUAGGGGGCGCCGCAUGGCCGCCUCGCGCUCCUCACGCACACCUGCGCCGACGCCACCGAAGUCUCCACUGAUUGACUUGCAAACAACACAAAAAAAGAAACAAGCAGCAAAAAACGGAAUAUCAGCAACAAUGAUAGCAAAUAAUGAAAACAUAAUAGGAAAGUAGAAUACUUUUUUAUGUUAUUUUCCUUUUAUUUGGCUAUAAAAAGCCAUCAAAAAAUCUAUAAAUGGAAGAUACUGAUUUUACAAAAAAUAAAACAUAGAGAAAGUGAAUAGAGAAGGUGAUUUGUGGUUUCUACUUCGUUUCUUUUCGGUUUUUCUUUUGCUUGAUUUUCAUUUUUUUAUAAAAGAUAAAAUAAAAAAAAGGGAGCGACUCACCUGGCUUCGGGCACCGUUCGCGGCGGCUCCACGGCGAGCAUAGCAGCGGCAGCAUGGAUGCUAGGGUCGAAACCCUAGCAGAGCCAAAGAGGGGGCAACAGUUUUGUUUUUU